rnacentral:rRNA from 1 species
CGAGCGCGCCUUUCGGGGUGAGCGGCGGACGGGUUAGUAACGCGUGGGAAUAUGCCCUUUGGUACGGAAUAGCCUCUGGAAACGGAGAGUAAUACCGUAUGAGCCCUUCGGGGGAAAGAUUUAUCGCCAAAGGAUUAGCCCGCGUUAGAUUAGGUAGUUGGUGGGGUAAUGGCCUACCAAGCCUACGAUCUAUAGCUGGUUUUAGAGGAUGAUCAGCAACACUGGGACUGAGACACGGCCCAGACUCCUACGGGAGGCAGCAGUGGGGAAUCUUGGACAAUGGGGGCAACCCUGAUCCAGCCAUGCCGCGUGAGUGAUGAAGGCCUUAGGGUCGUAAAGCUCUUUCGCCUGUGAAGAUAAUGACGGUAGCAGGUAAAGAAACCCCGGCUAACUCCGUGCCAGCAGCCGCGGUAAUACGGAGGGGGUUAGCGUUGUUCGGAAUUACUGGGCGUAAAGCGCACGUAGGCGGAUCGGAAAGUUGGGGGUGAAAUCCCGGGGCUCAACCCCGGAACUGCCUCCAAAACUAUCGGUCUAGAGUUCGAGAGAGGUGAGUGGAAUUCCGAGUGUAGAGGUGAAAUUCGUAGAUAUUCGGAGGAACACCAGUGGCGAAGGCGGCUCACUGGCUCGAUACUGACGCUGAGGUGCGAAAGUGUGGGGAGCAAACAGGAUUAGAUACCCUGGUAGUCCACACCGUAAACGAUGAAUGCCAGUCGUCGGGUAGCAUGCUAUUCGGUGACACACCUAACGGAUUAAGCAUUCCGCCUGGGGAGUACGGUCGC